CGGGAUAAGGAUUGGCUCUGAAGAUUGAGAUAGUCGGGCUUGAUUGGGAAACAAUAACAUGGUUUAUGUGCUCGUUCUGGGUAAAUAGAGUUUCUAGCAUUUAUGUUAGUUACUUGUUCCCCGGAUAGUUUAGUUACGUAGCCAAUUGUGGAACUUUCUUGCUAAAAUUUUUAAGAAUACUAUUUGGGUUAAACCAAUUAGUUCUUAUUAAUUAUAACGAUUAUCAAUUAACAAUCAAUUCAGAACUGGCACGGACUUGGGGAAUCCGACUGUCUAAUUAAAACAAAGCAUUGUGAUGGCCCUAGCGGGUGUUGACACAAUGUGAUUUCUGCCCAGUGCUCUGAAUGUCAAAGUGAAGAAAUUCAAGUAAGCGCGGGUCAACGGCGGGAGUAACUAUGACUCUCUUAAGGUAGCCAAAUGCCUCGUCAUCUAAUUAGUGACGCGCAUGAAUGGAUUAACGAGAUUCCUACUGUCCCUAUCUACUAUCUAGCGAAACCACAGCCAAGGGAACGGGCUUGGAAUAAUUAGCGGGGAAAGAAGACCCUUUUGAGCUUGACUCUAAUCUGGCAGUGUAAGGAGACAUAAGAGGUGUAGAAUAAGUGGGAGAUAUUAGACCUCGGUUUGGUAUCGUCAAUGAAAUACCACUACUCUUAUUGUUUCCUUACUUACUUGAUUAAAUGGAACGUGUAUCAUUUCCUAGCCAUUAUACGGAUAUAUUUAUUAUAUCUUAUGGUAUUGGGUUUUGAUGCAAGCUUCUUGAUCAAAGUAUCACGAGUUUGUUAUAUAAUCGCAAACAAAUUCUUUAAUAAAACGAUGCAUUUAUGUAUUUUUGAUUUGAAAAUUUGGUAUAACUCCAAUUACUCAGGUAUGAUCCAAUUCAAGGACAUUGCCAGGUAGGGAGUUUGACUGGGGCGGUACAUCUCUCAAAUAAUAACGGAGGUGUCCCAAGGCCAGCUCAGUGCGGACAGAAACCACACAUAGAGCAAAAGGGCAAAUGCUGACUUGAUCUCGGUGUUCAGUACACACAGGGACAGCAAAAGCUCGGCCUAUCGAUCCUUUUGGUUUAAAGAGUUUUUAACAAGAGGUGUCAGAAAAGUUACCAUAGGGAUAACUGGCUUGUGGCGGCCAAGCGUUCAUAGCGACGUCGCUUUUUGAUCCUUCGAUGUCGGCUCUUCCUAUCAUUGUGAAGCAAAAUUCACCAAGCGUUGGAUUGUUCACCCAUGCAAGGGAACGUGAGCUGGGUUUAGACCGUCGUGAGACAGGUUAGUUUUACCCUACUAAUGACAAAACGUUGUUGCGACAGCAUUCCUGCGUAGUACGAGAGGAACCGCAGGUACGGACCAAUGGCACAAUACUUGUUCGAGCGAACAGUGGUAUGACGCUACGUCCGUUGGAUUAUGCCUGAACGCCUCUAAGGUCGUAUCCGUGCUGGACUGCAAUGAUAAAUAAGGGGCAAUUUGCAUUGU
rnacentral:rRNA from 1 species